rnacentral:rRNA from 1 species
AAUGGUCUAGAGAUAGAUCAGGCCUUCGGGACAGAAGAGACAGGUGGUGCAUGGUUGUCGUCAGCUCGUGUCGUGAGAUGUGGUUAAGUCCCGCAACGAGCGCAACCCUUAUCAUUAGUUGCUAACAUUCAGUUGAGAACUCUAAUGAGACUGCCAGUGAUAAACUGGAGGAAGGUGGGGAUGACGUCAAAUCAUCAUGCCCCUUAUGACCUGGGCUACACACGUGCUACAAUGGCCGGUACAAAGAGUUGCGAAACUGUGAAGUUAAGCUAAUCUCAUAAAGCCGGUCUCAGUUCGGAUUGUAGUCUGCAACUCGACUACAUGAAGUCGGAAUCGCUAGUAAUCGCGAAUCAGAAUGUCGCGGUGAAUACGUUCUCGAGUCUU